rnacentral:rRNA from 1 species
CCCUUAGAUGUCCUGGGCCGCACGCGCGCUACACUGAACGGAUCAGCGCGUUUUCCCUUCCCGAGAGGGACUGGUAACCUGCUGAACCCCGUUCGUGGUAGGGAUCGGGGCUUGCAAUUAUUCCCCGUGAACCAGGAAUGCCCAGUAAGUGCAAGUCAUAAGCUUGCGUUGAUUACGUCCCUGCCCUUUGUACACACCGCCCGUCGCUACUACCGAUUGAACGUUUUAGUGAGGUACUCGGACUGAGCCUCAGAAGAUUCACGUCUUUUGUGCUGCUCGGGAAGAUUCCCAAACUUGAGCGUUUAGAGGAAGUAAAAGUCGUAACA